ACCGGCCACACUGGGACUGAGACACGGCCCAGACUCCUACGGGAGGCAGCAGUGGGGAAUAUUGCACAAUGGGCGGAAGCCUGAUGCAGCGACGCCGCGUGAGGGAUGACGGCCUUCGGGUUGUAAACCUCUUUCAGUAGGGAAGAAGCGAAAGUGACGGUACCUGCAGAAGAAGCGCCGGCUAACUACGUGCCAGCAGCCGCGGUAAUACGUAGGGCGCAAGCGUUAUCCGGAUUUAUUGGGCGUAAAGAGCUCGUAGGCGGUUUGUCGCGUCUGCCGUGAAAGUCCGAGGCUCAACCUCGGAUCUGCGGUGGGUACGGGCAGACUAGAGUGAUGUAGGGGAGACUGGAAUUCCUGGUGUAGCGGUGAAAUGCGCAGAUAUCAGGAGGAACACCGAUGGCGAAGGCAGGUCUCUGGGCAUUUACUGACGCUGAGGAGCGAAAGCAUGGGGAGCGAACAGGAUUAGAUACCCUGGUAGUCCAUGCCGUAAACGUUGGGCACUAGGUGUGGGGGACAUUCCACGUUUUCCGCGCCGUAGCUAACGCAUUAAGUGCCCCGCCUGGGG
rnacentral:rRNA from 2 species